UUUUUUGUCCAGGCCGCACAAGAAGCAGCGAUGAUGGUGGUGCUACAGAUCCUCACAUGUAUGAUGGAAUGCCCCAAAGAGUAGAGCAGGAGCACUAUGCAUGUUGAGGAGUAUGGGUAGUAUGAAGAUUCAUGGAAGUAUCUGAAGAUUCAAAUAUUCAUUCCUAUCUCCACUCCAUGAGGGUUAAAUAAAAAAUUCAGACCGCUUUAGUCAAAGAUGUCUCGCAGCGAGGUCAUAAAUGGAAAAUCCCUUGUGCGCGUCGCCUAUGU